UCCUGGCUCACGAUGAACGCUGGCGGCGUGCCUAACACAUGCAAGUCGAACGAAGUCAGACAGAGGAAGUUUUCGGAUGGAAUCAGAAUAACUUCAGUGCCAGGACGGGUGAAUAACGCGUAGGGAAACCUGCCCUGCCCCGGGGGAUAACACUUAGAAAUAGGUGCUAAUACCGCAUAAGCGCACGGAACCGCGUGGUUCCGUGUGAAAAACUCCGGCGCCACAGGAUGGUCCCGCGUCUGAUUAGCCAGCUGGCAGGGUAACGGCCUACCAAAGCUACGAUCAGCGGCCGGCCUGAGAGGGUGAACGGCCACAUUGGGACUGAGACACGGCCAAAACUCCUACGGGAGGCACCACUGGGGAAUCUCGCCCAAUGGGGGGAAACCUCUAAUGCAUCCACACCGCGUGAGUGAAUAAGUAUUUCGGUAUGUAAAGCUCUAUUAGCAAGGAAGAAAAUGACGGUUCCCUGACUAAGAAGCCCCGGCUAACUACGUGCCAGCAGCCGCGGUAAUACGUAGGGGGCAAGCGUUAUCCGGAUUUACUGGGUGUAAAGGGAGCGUAGACGGCAUGGCAAGCCAGAUGUGAAAACCCAGGGCUCAACCUUGGGCUUGCAUUUGGAACUGCCAGGCUGGAGUGCAGGAGAGGUAAGCGGAAUUCCUAGUGUAGCGGUGAAAUGCGUAGAUAUUAGGAGGAACACCAGUGGCGAAGGCGGCUUGCUGGACUGUAACUGACGUUGAGGCUCGAAAGCGUGGGGAGCAAACAGGAUUAGAUACCCUGGUAGUCCACGCGGUAAACGAUGA
rnacentral:rRNA from 1 species